AGAGUUUGAUCCUGGCUCAGAGUGAACGCUGGCGGCAGGCCUAACACAUGCAAGUCGAACGGCGGCACAGCAGCAGCAAUACUGUGGGUGGCGAGUGGCGGACGGGUGAGGAAUGCGUCGGAAUCUGCCUUUUUGUGGGGGAUAACGUAGGGAAACUUACGCUAAUACCGCAUACGACCUACGGGUGAAAGUGGGGGACCUUCGGGCCUCACGCAGAAAGAUGAGCCGACGCCGGAUUAGCUAGUUGGCGGGGUAAAGGCCCACCAAGGCGACGAUCCGUAGCUGGUCUGAGAGGAUGAUCAGCCACACUGGGACUGAGACACGGCCCAGACUCCUACGGGAGGCAGCAGUGGGGAAUAUUGGACAAUGGGCGCAAGCCUGAUCCAGCCAUGCCGCGUGUGUGAAGAAGGCCUUCGGGUUGUAAAGCACUUUUGUCCGGAAAGAAAAGCUUCGGGUUAAUAACCUGGAGUCAUGACGGUACCGA
rnacentral:rRNA from 1 species